CCAAUUGUAAAUGAGGAUAUCUCCAGUUUCUCAAGUAAAGUUAUGUUGUCGGAUACCUAUCUGGUGAUGAUAUUGCAUUGGACAGUCAUUAUCCACUUUCAAAUGCUGACCUCCAAAUCAGAGGGCAUACCGUCAAAUUGAUUACCAGCUAAUUUCUUAAUCUGUAUUGUUAUAUGUCAUCCAAAAUUUUCGGCUCCAGGUUCUAGUUAAAUACCUUCAUUCUGAGAG